CUUCUGACUCGGUCGACCUCCACUAGUGAGGUUUAGGGUUCUGAUAGCCACUAUAAAUGAGAAAGGUACCUACAAGUUUAUCGUUUCAGUUCACACAAUUCAUCGACGAACAGAGGAUAAAGAUCGGCCUGCCACUGUUUUUCUGAGGCAAAGUUCGAGUUUGUUCUCCAUCGACAAUGAGAGCCAAGUGGAAGAAGAAGCGUAUGAGGAGGCUUAAGAGAAAGCGCCGAAAGAUGAGACAGAGGUCGAAGUAGUUGGCAGAUAUCUGGAAAAUGAUCAAGCUUUCUCCUGAGACUGUUUAUGGUCUCCAUCGCUGUCGAGCAUGAACUGCUUGAAGUCGUGGAGGUUGUAGUAGUGUUCUUACGAAGAUAGUUUUGCACCAUUUCCUGUGGUUUUUAUUACUUUGGAUAAACUUCUAUAACUUGACUUGUUUUCCGUUUAAGUUGUGUGUUAUAACAUAUAUUAUGCAUGCAUGUAAUGCUUUUCUUGAACCAUUUCAGAAAUUUUCAAUGGUUAAGCUUAAUUUGGCUUGGUA